CUAACCCUAACUCCAACCCUAACCCUAACCCUAGCUUCAACCCCACACCUAACCCUAACCCUAGCUCAAACCCUAACCCAUGCAUUCCUAUGGGAAAAAAUCAAAUUUUUUUAGGAACGUCCUAGAGACUCGGGAGUUGGUUCAUUGCACUCGGAAAAAUCCUAGCUCCAAGCCCAACCCUAACCCUAGCUCCAACACUAACCCUAACUCCAACCCUAACCCUAACCCUAGCUUCAACCCCACACCUAACCCUAACCCUAGCUCCAACCCUAACCCUAACCCUAACCCAUGCAUUCCUAUGGGAAAAAAUCAAAUUUUUUUAGGAACGUCCUAGAGACUCGGGAGUUGGUUCAUUGCAAUCAGAAAAAUCCUAGCUCCAAGCCCAACCCUAACCCUAGCUCCAACACUAACCCUAACUCCAACCCUAACCCUAACCCUAACCCUAGCUCCAACCCUGACCCUAACCCUAACCCAUGCAUUCCUAUGGGAAAAAAUCAAUUUUUUUUAGGAACGUCCUAGAGACUCGGGAGUUGGUUCAUUGCACUCAGAAAAAUCCUAGCUCCAAGUCCAACCCUAACCCUAGCUCCAACACUAACCCUAACUCCAACCCUAACCCUAACCCUAGCUUCAACCCCACACCUAACCCUAACCCUAGCUCAAACCCUAACCCAUGCAUUCCUAUGGGAAAAAAUCAAAUUUUUUUAGGAACGUCCUAGAGACUCAGGAGUUGGUUCAUUGCACUCAGAAAAAUCCUAGCUCCAAGCCCAACCCUAACCCUAGCUCCAACACUAACCCUAACUCCAACCCUAACCCUAACCCUAGCUUCAACCCCACACCUAACCCUAACCCUAGCUCCAACCCUAACCCUAACCCUAACCCAUGCAUUCCUAUGGGAAAAAAUCAAAUUUUUUUAGGAACGUCCUAGAGACUCGGGAGUUGGUUCAUUGCAAUCAGAAAAAUCCUAGCUCCAAGCCCAACCCUAACCCUAGCUCCAACACUAACCCUAACUCCAACCCUAACCCUAACCCUAACCCUAGCUCCAACCCUGACCCUAACCCUAACCCAUGCAUUCCUAUGGGAAAAAAUCAAUUUUUUUUAGGAACGUCCUAGAGACUCGGGAGUUGGUUCAUUGCACUCAGAAAAAUCCUAGCUCCAAGCCCAACCCUAACCCUAGCUCCAACACUAACCCUAACUCCAACCCUAACCCUAACCCUAACCCUAGCUCCAACCCUAACCCUAACCCUAACCCAUGCAUUCCUACGGGAAAAAAUCAAAUUUUUUUAGGAACGUCCUAGAGACUCAGGAGUUGGUUCAUUGCACUCAGAAAAAUCCUAGCUCCAAGCCCAACCCUAACCCUAGCUCCAACACUAACCCUAACUCCAACCCUAACCCUAACCCUAACCCUAGCUCCAACCCUAACCCUAACCCUAACCCUAACCCAUGCAUUCCUAUGGGAAAAAAACAAAUUUUUUUAGGAACGUCCUAGAGACUCGGGAGUUGGUUCAUUGCACUCAGAAAAAUCCUAGCUCCAAGCCCAACCCUAACCCUAGCUCCAACACUAACCCUAACUCCAACCCUAACCCUAACCCUAACCCAUGCAUUCCUAUGGGAAAAAAUCAAAUUUUUUUAGGAACGUCCUAGAGACUCGGGAGUUGGUUCAUUGCACUCAGAAAAAUCCUAGCUCCAAGCCCAACCCUAACCCUAGCUCCAACACUACCCCUAACUCCAACCCUAACCCUAACCCUAACCCUAGCUCCAACCCUAACCCUAACCCUAACCCAUGCAUUCCUAUGGGAAAAAAUCAAAUUUUUUUAGGAACGUCCUAGAGACUCGGGAGUUGGUUCAUUGCACUCAGAAAAAUCCUCCAGCUCCAAGUCCAACCCUAACCCUAGCUCCAACACUAACCCUAACUCCAACCCUAACCCUAACCCUAACCCUAGCUCCAACCCUAACCCUAACCCUAACCCAUGCAUUCCUAUGGGAAAAAAUCAAAUUUUUUUAGAAACGUCCUAGAGACUCAGGAGUUGGUUCAUUGCACUCAGAAAAAUCCUAGCUCCAAGCCCAACCCUAACCCUAGCUCCAACACUAACCCUAACUCCAACCCUAACCCUAACCCUAACCCUAGCUCCAACCCUAACCCUAACCCUAACCCAUGCAUUCCUAUGGGAAAAAAUCAAAUUUUUUUAGGAACGUCCUAGAGACUCGGAGUUGGUUCAUUGCACUCAGAAAAAUCCUAGCUCCAAGCCCAACCCUAACCCUAGCUCCAACACUAACCCUAACUCCAACCCUAACCCUAACCCUAACCCUAGCUCCAACCCUAACCCUAACCCAAACCCAUGCAUUCCUAUGGAAAAAAAUCAAUUUUUUUAGGAAUGUCCUAGAGACUCGGGAGUUGGUUCAUUGCACUCAGAAAAAUCCUAGCUCCAAGCCCAACCCUAACCCUAGCUCCAACACUAACCCUAACUCCAACCCUAACCCUAACCCUAGCUCCAACCCUAACCCUAACCCUAACCCAUGCAUUCCCAUGGGAAAAAAUCAAAUUUUUUUAGGAACGUCCUAGAGACUUGGGAGUUGGUUCAUUGCACUCAGAAAAAUCCUAGCUCCAAGCCCAACCCUAACCCUAGCUCCAACACUAACCCUAACGCCAACCCUAACCCUAACCCUAACCCUAGCUCCAACCCUAACCCUAACCCUAACCCAUGCAUUCCUAUGGGAAAAAAUCAAAUUUUUUUAGGAACGUCCUAGAGACUCGGGAGUUGGUUCAUUGCAAUCAGAAAAAUCCUAGCUCCAAGCCCAACCCUAACCCUAGCUCCAACACUAACCCUAACGCCAACCCUAACCCUAACCCUAACCCUAGCUCCAACCCUAACCCUAACCCUAACCCAUGCAUUCCUAUGGGAAAAAAUCACAUUUUUUAGGAACGUCCUAGAGACUCGGGAGUUGGUUCAUUGCACUCAGAAAAAUCCUAGCUCCAAGCCCAACCCUAACCCUAGCUCCAACACUAACCCUAACUCUAACCCUAACCCUAACCCUAGCUCCAACCCUAACCCUAACCCUAACCCAUGCAUUCCUAUGGGAAAAAAUCAAUUUUUUUAGGAACGUCCUAGAGACUCGGGAAUUGGUUCAUUGCACUCAGAAAAAUCCUAGCUCCAAGCCCAACCCUAACCCUAGCUCCAACACUAACCCUAACUCCAACCCUAACCCUAACCCUAGCUCCAACCCUAACCCUAACCCUAACCCAUGCAUUCCUAUGGGAAAAAAUCAAAUUUUUUUAGGAAUGUCCUAGAGACUCGGGAGUUGGUUCAUUGCACUCAGAAAAAUCCUAGCUCCAAGCCCAACCCUAACCCUAGCUCCAACACUAACCCUAACUCCAACCCUAACCCUAACCCUAACCCUAGCUCCAACCCUAACCCUAACCCUAACCCAUGCAUUCCUAUGGGAAAAAAUCACAUUUUUUAGGAACGUCCUAGAGACUUGGGAGUUGGUUCAUUGCACUCAGAAAAAUCCUAGCUCCAAGCCCAACCCUAACCCUAGCUCCAACACUAACCCUAACUCCAACCCUAACCCUAACCCUAACCCUAGCUCCAACCCUAACCCUAACCCUAACCCAUGCAUUCCUAUGGGAAAAAAUCAAAUUUUUUUAGGAACGUCCUAGAGACUCGGGAGUUGGUUCAUUGCAAUCAGAAAAAUCCUAGCUCCAAGCCCAACCCUAACCCUAGCUCCAACACUAACCCUAACUCCAACCCUAACCCUAACCCUAACCCUAGCUCCAACCCUAACCCUAACCCUAACCCAUGCAUUCCUAUGGGAAAAAAUCACAUUUUUUAGGAACGUCCUAGAGACUCGGGAGUUGGUUCAUUGCACUCAGAAAAAUCCUAGCUCCAAGCCCAACCCUAACCCUAGCUCCAACACUAACCCUAACUCUAACCCUAACCCUAACCCUAGCUCCAACCCUAACCCUAACCCUAACCCAUGCAUUCCUAUGGGAAAAAAUCAAAUUUUUUUAGGAACGUCCUAGAGACUCGGGAGUUGGUUCAUUGCACUCAGAAAAAUCCUAGCUCCAAGCCCAACCCUAACCCUAGCUCCAACACUAACCCUAACUCCAACCCUAACCCUAACCCUAACCCUAGCUCCAACCCUAACCCUAACCCUAACCCUAACCCAUGCAUUCCUAUGGGAAAAAAUCAAAUUUUUUUAGGAACGUCCUAGAGACUCGGGAGUUGGUUCAUUGCACUCAGAAAAAUCCUAGCUCCAAGCCCAACCCUAACCCUAGCUCCAACACUAACCCUAACUCCAACCCUAACCCUAACCCUAACCCUAGCUCCAACCCUAACCCUAACCCUAACCCAUGCAUUCCUAUGGGAAAAAAUCAAAUUUUUUUAGGAACGUCCUAGAGACUCGGUGAGUUGGUUCAUUGCACUCAGAAAAAUCCUAGCUCCAAGCCCAACCCUAACCCUAGCUCCAACACUAACCCUAACUCCAACCCUAACCCUAACCCUAACUCUAGCUCCAACCCUAACCCUAACCCUAGCUCCACACCUAACCCUAACCCUAACCCUAGCUCCAACCUUAACCCUAACCCUAACCCUAGCCCCAACCCUAACCCUAGCUCUAACCCUAACCCUAGCUCCACCCUAAUCCUAACCCUAACCCUAACCCUAGCUCCAACCUUAACCCUAACCCUAACCCUAACUCCAACCCUAACCCUAACCCUAACCCUAGCUCCAACCCUAACCCUAACCCUAACCCUAGCUCCAACCCUAACCCUAACCCUAACCCUAGCUCCAACCUUAACCCUAACCCUAGCCCCAACCCUAACCCUAGCUCUAACCCUAACCCUAGCUCCACCCUAAUCCUAACCCUAACCCUAACCCUAGCUCCAACCUUAACCCUAACCCUAACUCCAACCCUAACCCUAACCCUAACCCUAGCUCCAACCCUAAUCCUAACCCUAACCCAUGCAUUCCUAUGGGAAAAAAUCAAAUUUUUUUAGGAACGUCCUAGAGACUCAGGAGGUGGUUCAUUGCACUCAGAAAAAUCCUAGCUCCAAGCCCAACCCUAACCCUAGCUCCAACACUAACCCAACUCCAACCCUAACCCUAACCCUAACCCUAGCUCCAACCCUAACCCUAACCCUAACCCAUGCAUUCCUAUGGGAAAAAAUCAAUUUUUUUUAGGAACGUCCUAGAGACUCGGGAGUUGGUUCAUUGCACUCAGAAAAAUCCUAGCUCCAAGCCCAACCCUAACCCUAGCUCCAACACUAACCCUAACUCCAACCCUAACCCUAACCCUAACCCUAGCUCCAACCCUAACCCUAACCCUAACCCAUGCAUUCCUAUGGGAAAAAAUCAAAUUUUUUUAGGAACGUCCUAGAGACUCGGGAGUUGGUUCAUUGCACUCAGAAAAAUGCUAGCUCCAAGCCCAACCCUAACCCUAGCUCCAACACUAACCCUAACUCCAACCCUAACCCUAACCCUAACCCUAGCUCCAACCCUAACCCUAACCCUAACCCAUGCAUUCCCAUGGGAAAAAAUCCAUUUUUUUUAGGAACGUCCUAGAGACUCGGGAGUUGGUUCAUUGCACUCAGAAAAAUCCUAGCUCCAAGCCCAACCCUAACCCUAGCUCCAACUCUAACCCUAACUCCAACCCUAACGCCAACCCUAACCCUAGCUCCAACCCUAACCCUAACCCUAACCCUAACCCAUGCAUUCCUAUGGGAAAAAAUCAAUUUUUUUUAGGAACGUCCUAGAGACUCAGGAGUUGGUUCAUUGCACUCAGAAAAAUCCUAGCUCCAAGCCCAACCCUAACCCUAGCUCCAACACUAACCCUAACUCCAACCCUAACCCUAACCCUAACCCUAGCUCCAACCCUAACCCUAACCCUAACCCAUGCAUUCCUAUGGGAAAAAAAUCAAAUUUUUUUAGGAACGUCCUAGAGACUCGGGAGUUGGUUCAUUGCACUCAGAAAAAUCCUAGCUCCAAGCCCAACCCUAACCCUAGCUCCAACACUAACCCUAACUCCAACCCUAACCCUAACCCUAACCCUAGCUCCAACCCCACACCUAACCCUAACCCUAGCUCCAACCUUAAAUGGUCAGGGGCCGUGUCCUGUCUGAGAAGAAAAGAGCACAUUGUGAGCUGAGAUGAACCAGUUAACCAUUUCGCACAACUCAAAGUAAAAAAUUUUAACCGUACAUAUUUUAAAAUAAGCUUCUUCCAGAUAAAAAUGCUAGCAGGGAUACAUGUGGACUUGUUAGAGGAGAGAUUAAGACAUCCUGUCAUACCUCAGUCAUUGUUCUGUUUUAGACUAACUUUAAGCUAAAGCUAAAAUUAGCAAACAUAGUAGUUUGGGGCAACAUGUCUCAGUCUUUUUGGGGUUAGUUGUCACGUGUUUCAAAGGGAUUCAUAUUAACAUAGAAAGUCUGCUUAUCAGCAGUUGUCAUAUUGAAAUUUUGACUUUAUUUUUACAGAAAAAGAGUGAUUUAAAGGAGAGGAGAAAGUGAGAAGACUUGGUCAGGAAUCUCAAAAGAAAAACAGAACAUGGCAGUACAGUUCCUGACGUGAUGCUGAGGGCAGUCAGGCAGGUGACCCUAGCUAAUAAAUCAACCUGGAGUACAAUAAAGGACUUUAAUGUCAUCUACCAUACCUUAGCUCGAUACUGAUAAACAUUCACCCCAGCUGAAAUACAGAGUCAGACAACUCUCCAAACAUAAUAGUUUAUGUUCACGUUUGUUUAGUGGCUAUGUUCAAUGGCUUUUUCUAGCUCAAUGAUAAACAUUUUCUGUGCCUGACUUUGAUGUUCACUUUCAAGUUUAAAAAAUGAGAACCAUAAUAAUUUUGUCCUUGUUUCAAUAGCAGCAAAAUCUACUGUGACGUCUUACCUGAUGGUGGGGUAAGAUGUCACAUGUUCACACUCUCUAUUUGAUUGCUUAUAACUCUGCACUGACACAAGAUAUGAAAAUGACAUGAUUAUGAAAUAUAUACCUGAGACUUUGGUCUUUAAUCUGGUUCACUUUUUGUUUAUAUAUGAUGUAUUGAUUACUAGAAUUAUAUAAGAGUGUAAAAAGUGUGACAACAAGCCCCGGUCUCCCCUAAGUUUUUCUUCUCCUUUGUAACUUACUAAAUGCUGCAGUGUUUCAUCGGUGGGGGAUGAAGAAGAGAUAAGAGUGGGUCUCCUUACAAGCUAGUCUCUUGUGAUAACAUUUAUUGUGAAUUUGUGCUGUUUAAAUAAAUAUUGGCUGAGCAAUUUAAUAUAAAGAGAAAUUUGUGGUGUAGCUGUUGUCUUGAAUUGCAUUAGAUUGCCGAGGUUUUCAUAAUAUUAUAGCUGGUAAGUCUAUGUAGAUUUAUAUCUAAGCCUUUGAAAUAGCAUUUUAAAGGGUACCCCAAUUUAACAGCAGCUACAGUCAGUUUAAAUCAAAGCAGUACAAAGUGACAGAUCACUGACACCCACACUGAGCAUUUUAACAAUCUGCAUCACACUUAGACAUAAUUUUCCUCCACAUAGGUGGAUGAAUGAGUUUCCAUUAUUCGUCAUAUUCAAUCAUGAUGGACCCAAGAACUGGAGAUACAGUGCCGUAAUAUAAAAACAGGUAACAGUUUGAUUGCUGAUGAUCUGGGUGUAGGUGUUGUGAGAAACCAUCACAGUUUAAAUUGCCCUGAUUUGAAUAAUUCAGCUUUUCCUACAAUCACAAGAUGUGACAGCCUCACUUUUCACAUUUCGGAGAAAAAAAAACCCUGUAAUGUUUGAAAUUAAUGUCUUGGCUGCUUCCCUGAGUCAGAUAUGACGUGUGUGUGCUCUGAAAGGACUCGAAGGAAUUUCUGACAGUCAGUUCUUGGAAAAAAAGCGUGGUCCUGAGCUUCACAUUGGCUUUGACUGAUGGAUAAGACACCCCUAUCAAAGCAGCUAGUCGAAAGUUAAUUUUCACCCAGAGUGAGAAGAAGAAGAAGAAGAAGAAGGAAAAAAAACACACACAUGUCUGUUAAUUACGCUUCAGGAAAUCAAAGAUAAUGUAAAUCCUCAUCGACACUGAGAGGCUAAGUAAUGAGGCCACCUGGUGUAAUCAGGUUUGAUGAGGGUUAAGGACGAGGCUCCUCUGCACAGCUCGGAUAUUUAAAGAGAGUACCUGUGGCUUCAGUUACAAGUUGGGAGAACACCAUGAUCCCCUGGUGUUAGCCAUCCAUCAGGAAGUACACCGUCACUAAUUGGUGUGCGUCUGUGUGUGUGUGUGCAUGUCUGCAUCUGACACAUAUGUUGACAUUUAUUAAAUUUGUUACCUUACUUCCUGCCAAUUAGUAUUCUGUAUAUAACAAGCCCUGCAGCAUUGAUGUGAUUUUAACACUUCUCUGCUAGAAGUCAAAGGCAGCUGCUGAAGGUGUCACUCACUCCCUCACUGAUGUCUGGAUAUCUAUAUGUUCCUGUUCUUAUAUUUGUUAGAAUAGCAGUGUGCUCCGACUUAUUGUCUUGAUUUCAGUCGCAGAGAUGCUAUGGUUUUGGCCAUUUGGAAAUCAGUGGCACCUGUAAUCAAUACAUUCACUGCUUGAGAGGCAGUUGUUGAUAGCAAAGGACAGAGCACUGAUGAGAAGAUAGUAGCCAAUCUAAAGGCACUCAUCCAGCUCAGCAUCUGCUGAGAGAGAGACAAAGGCAGGGUGAAUCAGACACACUGUGCUCUCAUCACCUUCACAGUGUCCUCAGCCUUUUUCCAUCUGGAGGUGAAGAGGUUCAGACCAGUGCAGAAACAGAGGUGUCAUCUUUUACUUUCAUCAGUUUUGGUCAGUAAUUGUGAAAUUAAAGCUAUUUGGAAAGAGAGGAGACUGUGAAAGAUUUGUUUUCAAGUACUAUGAGUGAAACAGCACAUCAUCUUAUUAGGAAUGAAACUACCCAAAGAAUUCUGCACAUGCUCUGUAGUUUGCGCAAAGGGCUGUGGGACCCUGAGGUUGAAUAGCAUAAAUGCAUUGUUGAGAGACACCUAUAGACAGAUGAAGAAGAAGACAAAGACAAAGUAGAACGGAAAGAAGCUGUGUGUACUAAAGGAGAGAGCUCAGACGAGUCCAUCACCGAGUGCAGCUCAAGGAAGAACAUUUAUGAUCAUUACUUUAUCAUUUCCAUUAAGUAAUAACCAUCAUAAUAAUAAUUUUGCACUGCAGACACAAUAAUUCUUCUGCCUUAGCAUCUCUGUCUGAUUGCAUUUCCAUGAAACAAUGAUCAUAAAUAUUCUUUCUUGAGCUGCGAAACUCCACUGCAGUCAAUGAAGGACUAGCCUGAGGUCUCACUACAAACAAGCAGCUGCUGGAGGAGAGUGGGUGAGUUGUGUUUAGUCUCUUUGCUAAAGACAUCAGGCAAAGCUAAAAAAGAUGUUUGGUGGCCAGGACUAUGUCUGGGACCCUAUAUGUACUGUUGAUGAAGUAAGGUGCUGUUCUGAGCAUUAUUUGUGGCUAUAGAGUGGCGUUUUGCUUGAGGUGUGUGCGUGGAUCCAUAAACCGCUGUGUAUUGCUAUCAUGCGGAUGUUCCUGAAGUUGGUAUAACUAGCGAAGCAAGCAGCCGGCAACAUUCAUCUCCCCUAACUUGGUGUCUAACUUGGUGUUAUAGUGUGUUUGACCAUAACUCAAUUUUACAACGGAAUAUCCCUUUAACUGUGCAUGUAAAAUGCACUUAAUGGGCUGUUGUAUUUGUCACUAUCAUGUUCACAGCACAGACAUUGAGGGUUGCAUGAUCAGAGAUGUUUGGGAGAAGAGGAAAAAAAUGAAGCAAGAUCAAAUAUAUAAUAAUAUUGAUUUCCUUUGAUAUGUUAUUUUUAAUUCACCCAUCAAUCAAAAACUGAACUCAAUUAUUAUUUGGAUUUUGUUAGCAUCUUAAUGCUUUACUAUGUUUACCAGUCACUGUCUAUAGCCACCAUGUUUCUCUGACAUUUGAUACUCAGUCGAUCGAGUAGACUGAAGAGGAUGCUGAUUGGCGGAGGGGGGGGGGGGCUUAAAGCUUUCAGAUGAAGAGGGGCAAACAGUGAGACAGAUGAUCAUUUUUUUGUGGGUUUUGUCACAGCAAGCAGCUAAUUAUAUACAUUAUAUGAAGUUGUUUCACCAGUUUUUUACAUGAAUGUGCAGAGGAGCUCAUCAAUCACAUCCUUAGGGUUGGUUUUCACAGACAGGACAGAACACGCUGUGAAUUAAAAACAAACAUCAGUCUUUUGAAGGAUGAGGGUUUUCUCCACUUCAAUGUCCACUUCCUGUUGUUUCGUCUUUCAGAGCAUCCCCUCUGCGUUUUCUCUCUUUUAUAAGUGCACACUCACACCUGAGGCGUCAGAAGCACCGGGCUUUGUGUAAGGUGUUGAUAAAUAUGACAGCCUCUCAGACUGUCGAGGGACUCGACAUGAUUUAAACAAGUACAAUAAUGUGACUGCUUGGAUUUUUUUAUUACCUCUGGGCGCAGGGAGUGAUAUUACGAUGAUGGUAUUUCAGUAAUUGAAACCUUGAAAUAUUGUGCUGAAUGUCCUCUCUAACGUGUUUGCAAAGUUUGCUUGUAUCCUGGUGUUAACAAUUAUAUAAAUGCUGCAGUUCAACUAUAGAACGAUUGAACCCCUAAUGCCCCUUUCCCACUCAGGGCUGUAAAAAGAAAUAUAAAUACCCACUAACAUUUAAAUCCUCAGGUGGCGCCUGGCAGCUAAAUGCAGUGCUUAUUACAUACUUACAUCCACCAUAAAAAGGCCUACAAAAUGGGAGUCGUAAUUAUACGUCAUAAUAAGGUUUUUACUUUUUUCUAACAAAGGAAAUCAAACUUUAAAGAAAACACACUGAUUUAAGAAAAUAUAUUUAGCAGAAUUUCUUUGCUUUUAACAGGAAAAUGAUGAUGAGACACAAAUGUGAUGGUGCACAAAUUUGGCCCACUCCCAUUUUAAAGCUCUUGUGAGGAACUUUCAGGGUUUUUUUUUUUGUCAGUUUAAUAACAUUAACCAUUCUUUCCCAGGAACAUCUAACACAAGGCUGUAUCUCCAGUGUGCAGCUUGUCACAUUGCCUGACAUUAACCUCUUGCCAGUGUUUGUCAUUUCUUUGAAAAAGGGUUGCUUUUCUUGCUGUUGAUCUUUCUUUGCCUUCACAGGCUUUGAAGAAACAUUUAUAUUGAUGUGAGUGUGAAAACUCCUCACAGGAGCUUUAACCUGCUCAGGCAUGUUCAAUCUAUCCAGGAUAUUAUGACAUUAAAACCAAUGUAUUUUCUGUAACAACUGCCCUGCUGAAGGACAAAGAGAAACAUUCAUGUUGCUGUCUGUUUGCAUGCAAAUGUGGCUGCAAACACCAGCACAGGAAAUCAUAGAAAAGACGGUAUUCUCGAGGCCACCAGCAUAAUGGUUCCAGCUCUGUGUUCCUCUGUGUUUCUCACUGCACCUUUGUUUCUGGCAUAUUCAUCCAAGGCUGCUGCUUGGUUCAUUAAGUUGCCAGCAAGACGCUGUCAAAUGUAUGCAUUUAGUAGCAGCAUGACCUCCGUGACUAAUCUCAAUUUGGAAUGGCAUCCUGCAAACAUAGGCCGCAUGUGAUCUUGUGCAGCUCUUAGCAGCUGUUACUCUCCUCAAGGAGGAAAAAUUCAACCAGGAAAACGACUCUCACUCCCACCCAAGAUCAGAUAUGUUGAUUUUUCUCAGGGAAAUAAACACUCUGGCAGCUCCCUCUUCCUCCCACACAACCAAAUUAGCUGUCACCGAGGACAUUAAGCUGUCAUUUCUGAGGUUCCUUUCAAACAUGUUUCCAGCAUAUAGAUUCUCUGUGAAUGUCACCGCCAUGCCAUGUUUGAAAUGGAUGAGAUGAUAAAGGAUAGUGAUAGCUAUUGGCAAAGUGAUAACACUGCCAGAGUAAAGUAGAUGGAUGGACUAAUACAUAAAUAAGAAAUUUAGUGAUGUUUACACAGCCUUACUCUGCCUCGCUGACCAUGCAGCCAACAGCUGAUAAACAACACCAGCCUUCAUUGUCUACCAUUACACAAAACCACUACAGUUCCAGUGCUUGAAAUUAAUUUGCUCCCUGUGCGUGCAGAUGAAGUGCACCUCAUUGUGCAUACUAAUGGCCCGCAGAAGGCUUUCAAAAUGAGAGAAUGGCUCUGUUUUGAAGAUGACACUUAAAGUUAAAAUUGGUUUCAGCUCCGAGACACCUCUCUUCCAUCAUAGUGGUGAUAAUUGUGUUCAUGUAUUGGUGUAAAACAGUAAACAAAGCUUAUUUGCACCCUGGUCUCUGGGGUGGGGAAAUGAUGCUCCUCUGGCUGCAGAGCUGAGGGGUCGAUGUUUAUUUUUUGCUGCAAAGGUUUUUGCUCUAAAAAAAAACUAAUGCUGCUGUUUAUUUCUUCAUGAUCUACAUCACAACAGUGUGUUUACAGUCAUGGCAGGACUGGAGGUAAAACAGAUGGCUCUCUGCUGAUGCUCGGUCCUCAUUCGAUGUUACUUUGCUCUGCCAAGCAAAUGUUCAGCAGUGCAUACGCAGCAAUCACAGCUAUUUUUUAUGCUUGAUUUGCACC